UUCAAAUCAAGUUUAAUAAAUAAAACAGCAAAGGGGGGUUCAAGGCAGUUAUCACUUCACAGUGUGGUCCUUGGUGGGGUGAGGGAUGGUCGAGUCCAACUCGGAAAGGGGCUCGAGCACAAGAGGCCGGACGACACCCGGGGCAGGGCGCGCCGCCGCCCACGGAGGACCCCACUCCAACGUGUAAACAGAAACAGAAACGAACGAGAGGGCCAGGGAGGAGGGGGACCAGGACUCCAAGCCAUCUUGCUAGGAAGCUUCCCACAGAAGGAAGACCUGCAGGGCUGGGGAAACAGGCUGGAGUCUGGCCCCUGCGUGGCCAGCAGGGCCGGCUCCUCCGGAGGCUCCCUGCCUUGGCCCUACUUACUCUUCUCACAGUGCCGGUUCAAGUGCAGGUUGCUGAGGUCAGCUUGGAACUGAGGUCCCACCAUGAUCUCCU
rnacentral:lncRNA from 1 species